CAGGCCUAACACAUGCAAGUCGAACGGUAGCACAGAGGAGCUUGCUCCUUGGGUGACGAGUGGCGGACGGGUGAGUAAUGUCUGGGAAACUGCCCGAUGGAGGGGGAUAACUACUGGAAACGGUAGCUAAUACCGCAUAACGUCUUCGGACCAAAGUGGGGGACCUUCGGGCCUCACACCAUCGGAUGUGCCCAGAUGGGAUUAGCUAGUAGGUGGGGUAAUGGCUCACCUAGGCGACGAUCCCUAGCUGGUCUGAGAGGAUGACCAGCCACACUGGAACUGAGACACGGUCCAGACUCCUACGGGAGGCAGCAGUGGGGAAUAUUGCACAAUGGGCGCAAGCCUGAUGCAGCCAUGCCGCGUGUAUGAAGAAGGCCUUCGGGUUGUAAAGUACUUUCAGCGGGGAGGAAGGCGAUGUGGUUAAUAACCGCAUCGAUUGACGUUACCCGCAGAAGAAGCACCGGCUAACUCCGUGCCAGCAGCCGCGGUAAU
rnacentral:rRNA from 1 species